UAGCGUCGUUGCGAGCACGAGGAGACCUGGAAGAUUUAAGGCCAAACAAGAAAACCAGACAACCAUCUCUUUUAAGAUUCUGGUCCAAUCCAACAGAAGGUGGACCUUGCACAACUACAGAAAAUGACCACAGCGUUGACCAGUAUGAACGUUCAGAUAUUGGAGACACACAGAUAAAAGAUGAACAACAAGGACCGUGUUUCGAUGUAAAGACAACCGAAGAGCCGGCGCUCAACCAAGCGGACUUGCCCCAAACAACUU